rnacentral:rRNA from 1 species
GACGAACGCUGGCGGCGUGCUUAACACAUGCAAGUCGAACGGAAAGGCCCUGCUUUUGUGGGGUGCUCGAGUGGCGAACGGGUGAGUAACACGUGAGUAACCUGCCCUUGACUUUGGGAUAACUUCAGGAAACUGGGGCUAAUACCGGAUAGGAGCUCCUGCUGCAUGGUGGGGGUUGGAAAGUUUCGGCGGUUGGGGAUGGACUCGCGGCUUAUCAGCUUGUUGGUGGGGUAGUGGCUUACCAAGGCUUUGACGGGUAGCCGGCCUGAGAGGGUGACCGGCCGCAAUGGGACUGAGAUACGGCCCAGACUCCUACGGGAGGCAGCAGUGGGGAAUAUUGCACAAUGGGCGGAAGCCUGAUGCAGCAACGCCGCGUGCGGGAUGACGGCCUUCGGGUUGUAAACCGCUUUCGCCUGUGACGAAGCGUGAGUGACGGUAAUGGGUAAAGAAGCACCGGCUAGCUACGUG